rnacentral:rRNA from 1 species
CCCUUAGAUGUUCUGGGCCGCACGCGCGCUACGCUGAUGCAUUCAACGAGUCUAAAACCUGCUCUGAUAGGGGUGGGUAAUCUUUUGAAUGUGCAUCGUGAUUGGGAUAGAUGAUUGCAAUUUUUCAUCUUCAACGAGGAAUGCCUAGUAAACGCAAGUCAUCAGCUUGCAUUGAUUACGUCCCUGCCCUUUGUACACACCGCCCGUCGCUCCUACCGAUUGAAUGAUCCGAUGAAUAUCAUGGAUUGAGGAUGUAAGCAGGUUCGCCUGUCUUCAUCUUCGAGAAGUGAAGUAAAUCUUAUCAUUUAGAGGAAGGAGAAGUCGUAACA